rnacentral:rRNA from 1 species
ACGUAGGGUGCGAGCGUUAAUCGGAAUUACUGGGCGUAAAGCGUGCGCAGGCGGUUUGUUAAGUCAGAUGUGAAAGCCCCGGGCUUAACCUGGGAACUGCGUUUGAAACUGGCAAGCUAGAGUCUGUCAGAGGGGGGUAGAAUUCCACGUGUAGCAGUGAAAUGCGUAGAGAUGUGGAGGAAUACCGAUGGCGAAGGCAGCCCCCUGGGAUAAGACUGACGCUCAUGCACGAAAGCGUGGGGAGCAAACAGGAUUAGAUACCCUGGUAGUCCACGCCCUAAACGAUGUCGACUGGUUGUUGGGCAACUUGAUUGUUCAGUAACGAAGCUAACGCGAGAAGUCGACCGCCUGGGGAGUACGGUCGCAAGAUUA